rnacentral:lncRNA from 1 species
AUGAAAGCUCUCUUCAAAUCUUUGAAGGCAUUUUUUUCUCCUUUUUCCCUUACCAGGCAAAGCACUCCACAGUUCUUCAACUCUGGCGCUCUGGAAGAGUAUUCUUUCUAUGGCUGGUGGCCAGUCCCUCCUCUAGGCAUGCUGUCUUCCUCUGCCUCCCAGAGAAGCUCAAGCGGUGCACCAGAGCUUCAGAUAUGGUCUGCUCAAGCACGCAGGAGUCAUUGUCUCCUGGGGAAGCUCACACAGUGCACCAGAGCUUCAGCCCCAGCCAAACCUGAUCGUGAAGCAGCUUCUGGCCCGCAGGUCGCUGUGCUCCCUCUUCUCGUCUCUUGGCUGGAAGCGCAGAUUUGGGUUCUGUUCCUGACUCAGUCCAAGUGCCAGGAAUCAGCCCUCCCCAGGGAUGCGUCCAGCCUGGGGAGAUACCUGCUCGUCCCAGCUGUGGUGUUCUUAAGUCUAAGGACCCUUCUGUAAACAGAUCACACGUUGGAAGUCACCUCCUGUCUCCGCAGCACUCUGACUGCCACUGUGCCAGGGGACAUGCCGUCCCUUUCACACCCCGAGGGCAUCAGCGAUGUCACUUUGUCACCUGCAGGCUGUUGGACUAAACGUCCUCAUAUUUCAGGCUGCAUUGUUUCCCUGUGACUCAAUUACUCAUUACUCAUUGAUAAGGCACGUGAUCGAUCCAUUUAUAAAUCAAGUGUAGUCUCCAGCCUGCCCUUCCGUGCUCUGUGCUCAGGGGCCACUGGUCCCUGUGAUGAAGGCCAAGUUCUCUAGAGAGCCUUCUCUGGUUUCAUCAUUUUGUGGAGGGAGGAUGUUUUAUCUUUUUUUUUUUUUUUUAGGGUUUUAAUUUUUAUUUUUUUUUUUUUUUUUUUGUCUUCUUAGGACUGCACCAGAGGCAUAUGGAGGUUCCCAGGCUAGGGGUUAAAUCAGAACUACAGCUGCUGGUCUGCACCACAGCCACAGCCACACUAGAUCUGAGCCUCAUCUGUGACCCACACUAUAGCUCACGGCAACACCAGAUCCUUAUCCCACUGAGCAAGGCCAGGGAUCGAACCUGCAUCCUCAUGGAUAUUAGUCAGAUUGGUUUCUGCUGAGCCAUGACAGGAACUCUGUAAUUUUAAUUUUUGAUUGUCCCAAUUAUGAAGAAAAAAUGCCUGUGAGAACAUAAAACACAGAAGCGAAAAAAUUUGUCUCACUGUCAUCUACAGGCACUGAGAACAUUCAGGAUGUCUUUGGGGCUUGUCCUCACUUGGCAGAAGUGCUUGUAUGUAUUCAUCACCAGCCCACCUCUGCUGACCAGUGCCUGUCUUUUCUAAAGAACUUUUUAUAGAUUCCCGGGCUCUUUGGCCUGCCCAGUGCACACUGGCCUCAACUGCCCACUCCUGCCAAACCAAGUAUUUUCCUUGUCUGCAUUUGCUUGGUCUUAGGAAGCGACUCUGGGCUCUGCCGUCUACGGUGUCACCUCUUCUUGGAAACGAGGUCCAAGGAUUCAGGUGGGCUGGAGCUCGCCCACGAUGAUGGGUGGUUUUUCUAUUUACCACUCUCCUUCUGGAAGCCCUGAUGGAUGCUGUCCGGGCAAGCUUUGCUGCUCUGCCCAAGUUUUCCUGAGUUACUCCAGAACUGCCCCCUAGAGGCCUCGGUCCAUGGUAAAGCUAUGUGGACUCUAGGAUUUGCUAUGCAAAAAGCCCUUGAACUAGGAUGCUCCCCAUUUCUCCGGAUGAUAAAAGGGACUCAGAAGGAGAAAAACCCCCAACAGAGUCGUUGCCUGAUGGCACUUAUUAAUUAGCAUCCCUGAGAAAGGGUGCCGAGAGAUUUCAUGUGGAUUUGAGUUAUCCUCUGGGAAUUUGUCCACCAAAGCCACUGAUGGGCCACCCUUCCUGUGUUGGUGGUUUUUGUCUGUAAUAGAUGAAGUCAGGAUACUUUUCUGUCGGGGGAGGGGGUGCACGCAAGACUCACUUAGUGUGAGUUUCAGUUGAAAACCCUUCCUUUCCAGCAGCUUAUUAAAAAGCACACACCAGUCUGGCUAAAAAAUAUCCUCAGGAAACCAGGCUGCAAGAAGAGAGGGUGAAACAGGAAUGAACAAUUUCGUUUUUCUUGGAAAAUGGCAUCAUUCUCCAAGGAAUGAAAGGCUAAAAGCAUUCCCCAGAUUUUUCUCAGGCACGUGUGCCAGUCCACAGAGGGCUGAAACCCUACACAGAAUCUGGAUUGAUUUCAAUUUCAGUCAUUCAGGUGUUUGUGGCAUAGAAUAAACACCACCCAGAAGGCA